AAUCAGUCAGUCAAAAAUCAAGUAACUUUACGAGCAAAGCACAAUUAUCAUCAUCGUGGUCUUCUUCAUCAGUUUCGUCAGCAGCAUCAUUAUCUUCCCUCUAUUUGUUCAGCACCGGAUAGUUCAUGAGUAUUUUUGCAUCAUUCUCCUUGACUUUUCACAUCCCUGUGCAGGAGGUAAAUCAAACAUCAGUAAUCCUGUUUUACAGAUGGGGAAAAAAGUCUCAAGGUUGGAUAUGACUUGCUAUGUGGCAAGGUUGGGGCUCAACCCUAACACAGUUCUCUUUCCAGUGCUUUCUCAAGUGCUUGGGGAAGAGAAUGCCUCAGAAGGCUGGGUAGUGGGGCCCUGGAAUUCAGCAUCCAUGAAUGUGCUAGUGGAUAAGCUAAAUAGAAGGCAGCCAAACCCAUCUGCUGUACAGAUUGAACUAUGCUCACGGUAGGGCAAAUUGCAGGCUCUGAAACAGAGACUACACAGGUAACACCUGAAUAGGAGACUCCUGCUUUACAAUGUGUAGAUAAAACAUCAGCAAUGGUGGCCAUGGUGGCAGUCAUGUGAAAAGUAAGAUCUUUGGGAAUCAAGAAAGGAAGCUGUGUUAACCACUCCUGCUCAAGCCCUGCUGCGUGUGUUGCAAGAGAUACUAAGAGAGCAAGAAAGCUAUAGGUGAGAACCUCUGCAGUUUAGGAGAAGAACAUCAAGGCACAGUCCAACAUGCUGAUAAGUCUGGCCAGGAGGAGAAUUAAAACAGGGGCUUUCCACACCUCCCUUGCCCCAAGCUCCAGCGGUAUUCUAUCAGCCCAUCCUCCUGGAAAGCCUGAAAGGAAUGAAGGAGGCUAAUAAGUCAUCUUCCAGGAAGGCAUCCCUCACUCGUGCUUCCCUGAGCUAGUCAACCAAAAGAGUCUUCAGAAACUUUGCUAGACCUGAAGUACUUGAACCUGUGUCCCCUGAAUCUUUCUUACAACAUCUGGGACAAAUCCCUGGCCCUGUGACAUCCGAAGCAGAACUGUGCCCUGCUCUCUCCUUCUGUGAUGACCAAGGAUGGUGAACUCAAGUUGUUCUCUACAAGCCAGGCCAGCAACCUAAAUACUUGGAGAGGAACUUUUAGAAACUAUAAUCCUGACAAAAUAGAAAAGUUUCCCAUAGGGGCAUACCAUAAUACUAUAAUAACCUCCCAGGAACUAUUGUUUGCCAAAAUGUAGUUAAUAUAUUUUAAGAUAUAUGCUUUUUUGCAUAGGACUAGAACCAGAAAAGACACCAAAUGCCCCCUUGACAUCAAUGUCCUUUCUAGUGGGACAAUUUGGUCUCCAUUAAUGCCAAGCCUUUCUGAACAGGAUACAUGGCUUUUAAAGGACAGAUGUUUCUCCUGCUGCUAGAAGUUCCUCAGUUUACUAGAGCACAAUGAGGAAAGUAUUCAACCUCCCUACUGCCAAGGAAUUCCCUGCUUCUCCCCCACCGCCAUCAUCUUGUCCAAGCUAUCAGAAGCAACCUUCUAGAGAUAAUCUAACAAUCCUGAUUAGAAUUGCUCCCAUAUCCCUGGUGACCACAGGCUUCAUUCAAAUUGUCCAAACUGGUUAACAUGUAUGUGAUGGGGUAUCUCUGCAUCUGUAUGUCUGUCUGCGAGGUUCCUUGUAUAUUGGCUGUCCGCUGACUUGGGACAGAUCUCUCUAGAACUUGGGUUCAGUUCUCUGACAUAGUCCACUCAGCCAUAGGCUGAGUGGCUAAAUAUGCAUAAAUAAGCAUGCCUAAAUAGGCAUAUAUAGGUUGGUGCAAAAGUAAUUGCGGUUUUUGCCAUUAAAAAUGAUAGCAAAAAUCCCAAUUACUUUUGCGUCAAUCUAAUAUUACAUUGCUUGAUAGAUUAAGAUGGAAUCCCACCAGGUUUAGGGUAGGACUGGAUGCUCAAAAAAUAAAGAAGGAGAAAAAUCUGUGGCAGAGGCAUCCUAAUGAGAACCUGACUUCUCCUUGCUUCCCUCUGCUCUCUCCUGCGCCUCAGAGACUUGUCCCCAUUGCAGAAGCUUCCUCCAUGCUAGGCCAGAGGAUAUCAAAGUUUAGUUUGGUCAAGAUUUGGGCCAAGAAAAUUCCUUUUUAGAAGAGCCCUCAUAUCUGAAUCACAUCACUUUGGGCCAGUUAUCUCUGGUCACCCUCAGACAAACCCUCGUCUCUUUUUCUCCCUUCCUAGAGGAAUUCCCAGGGAACUUUGCAGAAAUAGGUCUCCAGAGUUGCUACAGAGGUUCAUGGCUCCUUUCGAGGAGGGACAUGUAUGAAAUUUGAACAGAUCAAGACAGGUGUUUGUCUUCAACCAUGGGGGAAGACCUCCAGCUUCCAUUUUCCCCUAUACGUGUCUGUGCUGACAUCCUUUCCAGCAGUAGAAGACUAAAAAGAUAUAUCUUAACCCAUUCCUCAAAAGGACAUCUUCCUAAAGCCAGAGAAAAUUGUCUGCGCUUCCCCACCCCAGGAAGAGGCAAAAGGGAAGUGAGGGCGUCACAAGGUCUUUUGUAAAUCACUAUUGUGUUUGUCACAGCACUGGGCGGAGAGCUGGAUCCACAGAGCUCUCAGUUUUUCUAAGCACUGUCCUGUAAUGUGCUAAUGUCUGGGGGUGGGAGGGCUGGGGAGGGGUGGGGUUAGAGGGAAGAUGCCAACCUUUGUAUGGAGAUGAUUUUAUAACCAUGCACUUUUGUAACUGUGCAGAAUUUUUCAUAAAUGUACAUUAAUAAUAAAGAGUGUAUAGUUUAA
rnacentral:lncRNA from 1 species